ensembl:snRNA U6 U6 spliceosomal RNA
UCGCUUAAGCAGCACAUAUCCUAAAAUUGGAAGGACACAGAGAUUAGCAUGGCCCCUGUGCAAGGAUGACACGCAAAUUUGUGAAGCGUUCCAUACAGAU